GAUGAACGCUAGCGGCAGGCUUAACACAUGCAAGUCGAGGGGUAGAGGUUGCUUGCAACCUUGAGGCCGGCGCACGGGUGCGUAACGCGUAUGCAACCUACCUUUUACAGAGGGAUAGCCCAGAGAAAUUUGGAUUAAUACCUCAUAGUAUAUAACCUUCGCAUGUUGGGUAUAUUAAAGUUUCAACGGUAAAAGAUGGGCAUGCGUCCUAUUAGCUAGAUGGUAAGGUAACGGCUUACCAUGGCAACGAUAGGUGGGGGUCCUGAGAGGGAGAUCCCCCACACUGGUACUGAGACACGGACCAGACUCCUACGGGAGGCAGCAGUGAGGAAUAUUGGACAAUGGGCGCAAGCCUGAUCCAGCCAUGCCGCGUGCAGGAAGAAGCAUCUAUGGUGUGUAAACUGCUUUUGUACAGGAAGAAACACCCCGACGUGUCGGGACUUGACGGUACUGUAAGAAUAAGGAUCGGCUAACUCCGUGCCAGCCGCCGCGGUAAAAC
rnacentral:rRNA from 1 species